rnacentral:rRNA from 1 species
CCUACGGGGGGCAGCAGUGAGGAAUAUUGGUCAAUGGCCGGAAGGCUGAACCAGCCAUGCCGCGUGAAGGUCAGUGCCCUAUGGGCGUUAAACUUCUUUUGUGCGGGAGCAAUAAUGGUCACGUGUGACCAGACGAGAGUACCGUACGAAUAAGCAUCGGCUAACUCCGUGCCAGCAGCCGCGGUAAUACGGGGGAUGCAAGCGUUAUCCGGAUUUAUUGGGUUUAAAGGGUGCGUAGGCUGUGAGGUAAGUCAGCGGUGAAAUGCCCCCGCUCAACGGGGUGAAGUGCCAUUGAUACUGCCUGGCUGGAAGGCGGAUGCCGUGGGAGGAAUGUGUGGUGUAGCGGUGAAAUGCAUAGAUAUCACACAGAACACCGAUUGCGAAGGCAUCUCACGAAUCCGCGAUUGACGCUGAUGCACGAAAGCGUGGGUAUCAAACAGGAUUAGAUACCCCAGUAGUC